AGUGAACGCUGGCGGCGUGCUUAACACAUGCAAGUCGAACGAGAACGGGUUAUAGCUUGCUAUAAUUGUCAGCUAAGUGGCGCACGGGUGAGUAAUGUAUAGGUAAUAUGCCUCUUACUAAGGGAUAACAAUUGGAAACGAUUGCUAAUACCUUAUACUCCUUAUUAACUAAAGUUAGUAAGGGAAAGAUUUAUUGGUAAGAGAUUAGCCUGUAUUGUAUCAGUUAGUUGGUGGGGUAAUGGCCUACCAAGACUAUGACGCAUAACUGGUUUGAGAGGAUGAUCAGUCACACUGGAACUGAGUCACGGUCCAGACUCCUACGGGAGGCAGCAGUGGGGAAUAUUGCACAAUGGACGAAAGUCUGAUGCAGCAACGCCGCGUGGAGGAUGACACAUUUCGGUGCGUAAACUCCUUUUAUAUAAGAAGAUAAUGACGGUAUUAUAUGAAUAAGCACCGGCUAACUCCGUGCCAGCAGCCGCGGUAAAGUG
rnacentral:rRNA from 1 species